rnacentral:rRNA from 1 species
AACGCGAAGAACCUUACCAGGAUUCGACAUGCCCUCUAUGGAUUCCCGAAAAGGAAUCCUUCACUUCGGGUGGGAGGAGCACAGGUGCUGCAUGGCUGUCGUCAGCUCGUGUCGUGAGAUGUUGGGUUAAGUCCCGCAACGAGCGCAACCCUCGUCCUCUGUUGCUAACAGGUUAGGCUGAGCACUCUGAGGAAACUGCCGGUGAUAAGCCGGAGGAAGGUGGGGAUGACGUCAAGUCCUCAUGGCCCUUACAUCCUGGGCUACACACGUGUUACAAUGGCGGUGACAAUGGGCAGCGAACCCGCAAGGGGGAGCGAAUCUCAAAAAGCCGCCUCAGUUCGGAUUGCACUCUGCAACUCGAGUGCAUGAAGCUGGAAUCGCUAGUAAUCGUGGAUCAGCACGCCACGGUGAAUACGUUCCCGGGCCUUGUACACACCGAUACUC